ACACAGUCCAAGAACUUUUUCACUUAACAGACAAGAAAAUUUAAAAUCGUUCCUCGGUUUAAUUCCUUGUUCUUCUCUUACAGCUUAUCAAAUGAUGUAAGGAAGAUGGAUACCAUGUUACUUAUUCAGUCCAUCCUAAGAAUUACAGAUGUUGGAUAAAGUCUCCCUCCUGUAACUGAAUCAGCAGCAUGACUAACGAGUGUUUCUCUCCAGUGAUCUAAUGGCCAUGCACAUUGCUACACUGUUCCCUACCAUAACAAGUUCACUGGAUUAUACAGUUUAUCCUCUACCAGAAGUGACAAAAUAAAAAGAUUGAUCUGAAAAUAUCUGCAUCUACCUCCUCCUCUGAACCUGUAUCUGGAAAUUAGAGAAGCAUUCACUGAGUUUGCAUAUAAUCCUGCAGAAUUAACAAGGUGAGUCUAAACUGUUUUAACUUCCCAUAUGAACCCAUAGCUGCAGAAUUUGUAUCUCCUUUCUCAUUCAUUUUCAACCUCUAUUUGUAUUUUUUCUUCACAGUUCAUCCUGUAUCUCUACAUAAAAUGAGAGUGAUUGAUCUGAAGUUGUUUGAAUAUCUGUUAUGUUACAGCCACAGCUCCUCCUCCAGCAGCUAUGAAAGCAGACAUGAGGAAAGCCCUCCCCAGCAGGCUUCACACCAUUUCAUUUAAGUGUUAUGAUGGAAUAUACAACACAAUUAGCAGAGCUUAUAGACGUCUGGUCAGACCUCCCUGUAAUGUAAAUUUCUGAUGUGCUUUAGGAGAUACAUCCCUAGACUUCCCCACUCCCCUCAUUUGUGUGUACUACAUGAACAAGCAGUCCUAACAGAGUGUGGUCAAAGAAUAAAAGCAAGCGUUUGCUACACAGGAGGGCUGGAGAGUAAGAGAUAAAGGCUGCCCAUAUCCGAGGAUGGCUGCAGUGUGGCCAAAGGACAGACACAAAGGUACUUACUGCCUCUCUAACACCACUGGCCAUAAACUUCCACUUGUUGAUUAUCUUUACUGCAACUUUAUUACAAGUGCUCUUCUCAAAUGCCAGCUUGACUUCUCCGCAGGCACCACUAGCAUGAAAGCACAGCUGUGUUAAUGCUUACAGAUACCUUCCUAACUUGGCCGAAGAAGCAUGCUGAAAUGAACAGGAGGCUCUCGCCUCAUUAAGAUUACAUGCAGUCAGAGGCUGCAGCUUUCCAUCUUUCUCAAUAUGACAGAUGAACAAAACUAUCUCAGAAAACAUAAUGAUAAAAAGCAUUAACUGAUCACUGAAGACAUACAAUAUAAUUUUGGUGAGGUUCACUAAAAUUACAAAUUCAUCUGCAUUCUUGAUAAUCUGGUCUUAAUAAAUACAGCGUGCCACAACGUGUCUUAGGCUAAAUCUGUUGUGUAAGCAAAUAUAUUGCCAAUAAGUGUCAGGUUUUGGCAUUCACAUAAAGUGAAAUAAUAAAGGAAUUGCUUCGUGGUCUCGGACAACGCAGUUGUUGAUCAACUUGAAGCUGCAGCUGGAAAAGUGUUUGUCAGUAGGACCACAUCUCAUUUGUGCUUCAUCUUCAUUAAAACCCACCACAGUCAUUGGAACGCUUAUCACAACCU